rnacentral:rRNA from 1 species
AGCGAACGCUGGCGGCAUGCCUAACACAUGCAAGUCGCACGGGGGGGCUUCGGCCUCCCAGUGGCGGACGGGUGAGGAACGCGUAGGGACCUGUCGAGGGGUGGGGGAUAACCGCGGGAAACUGCGGCUAAUACCGCAUGACGCCGCGGCGUGACAGCCGGGGCCAAAGGCGAAAGCCGCCCGCCGAGGGGCCUGCGUCCGAUUCGCUGGUUGGCGGGGUAGCGGCCCACCAAGGCGUCGAGCGGGAGCUGGUCUGAGAGGGUGAUCAGCCACACCGGGACUGGGACACGGCCCGGACUCCUACGGGAGGCAGCAGUGGGGAAUAUUGGACAAUGGGCGCAAGCCUGAUCCAGCAAUGCCGCGUGGGUGAAGAAGGUCUUCGGAUUGUAAAGCCCUUUCGGCGGGGACGAUGGUGACGGUACCCGCAGAAGAAGCCCCGGCUAACUUCGUG